rnacentral:rRNA from 1 species
GACGAACGCUGGCGGCGUGCUUAACACAUGCAAGUCGAACGAUGAAGCCGGAGCUUGCUCUGGUGAAUUAGUGGCGAACGGGUGAGUAACACGUGAGUAACCUGCCCUUGACUCUGGGAUAACUGCUAGAAAUGGUAGCUAAUACCGGAUACGACCCUCGGAGGCAUCUCCAGGGGGUGGAAAGAAUUUCGGUCAAGGAUGGACUCGCGGCCUAUCAGCUAGUUGGUGAGGUAACGGCUCACCAAGGCGACGACGGGUAGCCGGCCUGAGAGGGUGACCGGCCACACUGGGACUGAGACACGGCCCAGACUCCUACGGGAGGCAGCAGUGGGGAAUAUUGCACAAUGGGCGCAAGCCUGAUGCAGCAACGCCGCGUGAGGGAUGACGGCCUUCGGGUUGUAAACCUCUUUUAGUAGGGAAGAAGCGAAAGUGACGGUACCUGCAGGAAAAGCACCGGCUAACUACGUGCCAGCAGCCGCCGCCG